rnacentral:rRNA from 1 species
AUUGAACGCUGGCGGCAUGCUUUACACAUGCAAGUCGAACGGUAACAGGCCUUCGGGUGCUGACGAGUGGCGAACGGGUGAGUAAUGCAUCGGAACGUACCCAGAGGUGGGGGAUAACGCAGCGAAAGCUGUGCUAAUACCGCAUGUGAUCUGAGGAUGAAAGCGGGGGACCGAGCAGCAAUGUUUGGCCUCGCGCCUUUGGAGCGGCCGAUGUCGGAUUAGCUAGUUGGUGGGGUAAAGGCCUACCAAGGCGACGAUCCGUAGCUGGUCUGAGAGGACGACAACCCACACUGGGGCGGAGACACGACCCGGACCCCGCGGGGAGGCGGAGGGGGGGAUUGUGGAAGAAUGGGGGCAGGCUGUAACCAGAAGGGGGGAGGGAGGAAAAAGGGCCCUCGGGUGGAACACGGUUUUGGGAAGAAAGGAAGGGGUGUCAGCAAUUACCGGGGUUAAAGGAGGCACCGUGAGAAAAAGGAAGGGGCAAGCUUGGGC